rnacentral:rRNA from 1 species
CCUACGGGGGGCAGCAGUGAGGAAUAUUGGUCAAUGGGCGAGAGCCUGAACCAGCCAAGUCGCGUGAAGGAUGACGGCCCUACGGGUUGUAAACUUCUUUUGUCAGGGAGCAAUUGGGUCCACGCGUGGGCUUAGCUAGAGUACCUGAAGAAAAAGCAUCGGCUAACUCCGUGCAAGAAGCCGCGGUAAUACGGAGGAUGCGAGCGUUCUCCGGAUUUAUGGGGUUUAAGGGGUGCGUAGGCGGAAUAUCAAGUCAGCGGUAAAAAUUCGGGGCUAAACCCCGUCGUGCCGUUGAAACUGGUGUUCUUGAGUGGGCGAGAAGUAGGCGGAAUGCGUGGUGUAGCGGUGAAAUGCAUAGAUAUCACGCAGAACUCCGAUUGCGAAGGCAGCAUACCGGAGCCCAACUGACGCUGAAGCACGAAAGCGUGGGUAUCGAACAGGAUUAGAUACCCGGGUAGUC